AUACUUACCUGGCAGGAAGGAGGAAUACAACAAUUUAGAAGGUGGAUUCCCCAGGGUGAGGCUCUUCCUUCCCACCUUGGUUAAAUUGACCCCUGUGACUGAUUUCCUCAAAUGUGGGAAACUCAGCUGGAUUCUUUAUAGUAUAUGAACCUUAUCUGUGCAGCUCUAAA